rnacentral:rRNA from 1 species
GCCCGUCGCUCCUACCGAUUGGAUGACUCGGUGAAAUCACCGGAUGCUUACGAGCAGAAAGUGAUUAAAUCACGUUAUCUAGAGGAAGGAGAAGUCGUAACAGGUAACGGUAGGUGAACCUGCCGUUGGAUCAGUUCUAGUUUUAAUACUAACACCAACUUCUUUUAUUAAAACAAACCAAUACAAAAUUAAAAACUAACUUCAUC